UCUGUGGUUAAUGAUGCACACUCUUUCCCCGACUUAUCGACUAUGGUGAUAUAAUAUGCAACAUAAGCCAAUUUUUCUGAAACCACAUU